rnacentral:tRNA from 1 species
GCUGUUGUAGCUCAGUUGGAAGAGCAGCAGACUCUUAAUCUGAAGGUCGUGGGUUCGAGCCCCACUAACAGCA